GGUGACGUAGCCAAGCGGUUAGGCGGGGGUCUGCAAAACCCUGAACGUCGGUUCAAAUCCGACCGUCACCU